AUCCGGCUGUCAGCAAGGCAGCUUUCCCGCGAAAGUGGGAUUGAAAAAGUGGGUUAAUUCAGGGAAACCUAAUUACCGUAAGGUGUAAGGUAAUCCUGAGCCAAGCCCCGAUGAAAAUCGGGGAAGGUGCAGAGACUAGACCGCAAGGUCGUACUCUCUUGAUUAUAAAGAGGGGAAACACCCGCUCCCGUAUAGGGAAUGAGAUAGUCCAAGCCUUAAAGAAAUUUGAGG
rnacentral:ncRNA from 1 species